GCCUUCUUAGUGUAAUGGUCAGCACACUCGGUGCAUAUUCGACAGGUCCGAGGUUCGAAUCCCGGCGAGAGCA
rnacentral:tRNA from 1 species